rnacentral:lncRNA from 1 species
CAACAUGGCCUUAAACAAAUUGCUAUGGUUAAAGAAAACUUGCUCAACAUUAGCAGUUAAACUAGCAAUACAAGAAGUUCCAUGCACACUUCUGCUUCAGUGUCCACAUGCCCCACACAGAUCUUCUUUGGAUCUUUGGUCUAUUCCCAGGCUCCCUUUUGUGUUCCAAUGCGGAGGUGUGUUUGGUUGACAUACAAUAGCAAUGGUACAGGAGAUGUCGAGAAGAAAAUUUCUUGUCAAAACCAGACUGGUCUCUGCAUCAUUUUAAGUGGCAGUAUGGUAGUGGUAAGAGUAAUGAUACACAGCUCAGACCUAAAUGCUAAAGAACUAUGUUCAGAAUGGGACCAGACUCAUUCCUGCUGCAAUCCCAGCUCUUCUGUAAGUGCACAUUGGUCAGCUCUUGUUCCAAAGAAGCUUCCAUAGCACUUUGGCAAAAACUUUAUUCUUAGUCACCAAAGAGAUAUUGAAAUGAAUGGUGACUCAUCUCAGCAGGCAUUCAACUGCAGCCUUAAACUCAAUCCUAGUGGAAGAAAGUUAACAAUCUCAGUCCUCCAGUGUAGGAAGCAUACAUUCUUAUAAAAUUACAGAUACACACAAGAAAACAUUUCUCCUGUUUCAGUCUGUG